rnacentral:siRNA from 1 species
AAAUGGCCACAAUUUGAAAGUUG